rnacentral:lncRNA from 1 species
AGGGAGAAAACACUCACAUUCCUCUUUAGAGUGGGCCUGCGGCCACGUGGUCAGAGCAAUCCAAGUGGCUUUACAUGGUGAAUGGGCAUGACUCUGACUGUGCCAUUAGCAGAUGAUUCCUCAAGUGUUGGGAGGUCAUGUGCCUCAAAACUAGCCAGGUAAAAUGCAUUCCUGGAAAAUAAGUUCCACUUGAGGGGCUCAUGCAGUGAUUCACCUGAAGCUCAUUCAGACAGAUUGCAUCACUGAGAGCUGGAAUCAUUCCUGCGGAGCCCCUUGGCUUGUUGCUCCUCCAUGAGAGGGGUCUCUGUUGGAGUGAGAGACUGCAAUCCAUCAUCCACCAGUGGAGGGAAGCAAAAGACAGAAAAGGCAAGAAGGAAGGCAGAAAGAAAAGAGGGCCCACCGAAAUGAUGUGGUCUACACCAGUAUCUCAGGAUGGAGAAGCUCAGCAAGCCUUACAAAAGAAUGAUCCACACUCACUGUUUUCACCUCCUCCUCUCCCAUUCCCUCCCGCCACACCUCUGGGACCACCUUUCCCAGGGUUACUGAAGGC